AUUGGACGCUGGCGGCAUGCCUUACACAUGCAAGUCGAACGGUAACAGGUCUUCGGAUGCUGACGAGUGGCGAACGGGUGAGUAAUACAUCGGAACGUGCCUAGUAGUGGGGGGUAACUACUCGAAAGAGUGGCUAAUACCGCAUGAGAUCUACGGAUGAAAGCAGGGGAUCGCAAGACCUUGUGCUACUAGAGCGGCCGAUGGCAGAUUAGGUAGUUGGUGGGAUAAAAGCUUACCAAGCCGACGAUCUGUAGCUGGUCUGAGAGGACGAUCAGCCACACUGGGACUGAGACACGGCCCAGACUCCUACGGAGGCAGCAGUGGGGAAUUUUGGACAAUGGGCGCAAGCCUGAUCCAGCAAUGCCGCGUGCAGGAUGAAGGCCUUCGGGUUGUAAACUGCUUUUGUACGGAACGAAAAGCCCCGGGUUAAUACCCUGGGGUCAUGACGGUACCGUAAGAAUAAGCACCGGCUAACUACGUGCCAGCCGCCGCGGUAA
rnacentral:rRNA from 1 species